rnacentral:lncRNA from 1 species
AAAAGCGGUAAAAUAUCUUCCCUCAAAACAACGUUAUUUAAGCUUAUUAACUAAAUAAUUCCAAUCAAUAGACAAUGAAACUGUGAACAACAAUCAUCAUGCUCAGGGGAAGGUGACAAUUGUAUUUAAUUUACAUUUAAUCGAUCUUAUUUGUAUGAUACAACCAAUCACCCAAAAUAAAACGUAAACAUGAAUAAACCAGA